rnacentral:rRNA from 1 species
CCUACGGGAGGCAGCAGUGGGGAAUAUUGGGCAAUGGGCGAAAGCCUGACCCAGCGACGCCGCGUGAGGGACGAAGGCCUUCGGGUUGUAAACCUCUUUCAGCAGGGAAGAAGCGAAAGUGACGGUACCUGCAGAAGAAGCACCGGCUAACUACGUGCCAGCAGCCGCGGUAAUACGUAGGGUGCAAGCGUUGUCCGGAAUUAUUGGGCGUAAAGAGCUCGUAGGUGGUUUGCCACGUCGGAUGUGAAAACCUGAGGCUUAACCUCAGGCCUGCAUUCGAUACGGGCAGACUAGAGUGUGGUAGGGGAGACUGGAAUUCCUGGUGUAGCGGUGAAAUGCGCAGAUAUCAGGAGGAACACCGGUGGCGAAGGCGGGUCUCUGGGCCAUAACUGACACUGAGGAGCGAAAGCGUGGGGAGCAAACAGGAUUAGAUACCCUGGUAGUCCACGCCGUAAACGGUGGGCACUAGAUGUGGGGACCUUCCGUACGUCGUCUGCGUCGCAGCUACGCAUUAAGUACGCCCGCCGUCGGGAGGUACGGCCGCGAACGGACGUAAACUACAAUAGAAGUUAGACGGCGNGAGACGNGCCGACGGACGACGACGAGGGAGGUAGG